rnacentral:tRNA from 1 species
UUUAAUAAACCUUGAGAGGUGUUUACGUUUCGGCCGUAAAAUUGAAAGUGUAGCCUUUCUAUUAAAA